AGACGGUGACUGAUACAGGAACUGUAUCGGUCACGUGCUUUCCCAACGCGAUACGCGCACCGACACAGUGUUUCGCUCUAAGAGCUCGACGCAGGCGCCGACGCAUCGGUGUUGCCGGACCCAUCACUACUAUCCGGUAUAUAUUUUCCGAUGGACGACUUGUUGAUCGUAACUGUUUAUCUUUGACAUGACGCCAGGACUCAGCGGAUGUACGACUCAUUAUUACAGCAACAUGUUUGUUCUACAUGUGUUUACGACGCUUGUGUCUGCCUGAAACUGCCGACGACGACAGUUUACACUGUAUGAAAUAAAAAAUAUCGGUUAUUUUACCACUUUUAAUAUAUGUAUGAAGCCAGUUAAACCAGUAAGAUGCUGCCAAAAAGUGAUGAAGCCGAUUCCUUUUUGAUUAGGAGCUUAUUUUUGCCUAAUUUUAAUAUGUACGUAAAGGUUUUUCACGUUUAGAGCACAAAGACAGAGGCUUUAUUGUAUGUGGAGAUGGUGGAAGUCUGGGGCAAAGCUCUGCCCCUCCUGUCAUUUGUAGCACAGGGGAGAAACCACACGUUACAGCAGCCAGGUUGUGGGAGUCUUUUUUUUUUCUUUGGAGAAGUGGCCCGUUUCCUGGGUGGUGAGGUGAAGGCCAGGGUUAUUUGUAGGGUGACACAUUUAUUGAAUGAUAAUUUUGAUUUGGUAUUUGUGUUUAAAAAAAAAAACAGGCUACAGAGCGUGAUGAGGGGUUUAAAACAGAGUAUGAGGGGGUGUUUGUAUCGUAUUUGGUCACUAGAUGGCGACACCUCGCUGGCAGAGAUGACCUCGAAAUUCUGAAACAGACAUUUUUCACACAUUUUUUCAGACAGUUCUCAAAUUCUCAACGGCACCGUGUAAUUGAGCUCAGAUUUUUUCAUCCGUUUUAUUUUAACCACUACAAACGCUUGAUUCCACCACAGAGUAAAAGUGUGUGCGUGUGUGUGUCCUUACACUGGAUGUUCAUGGUGGUAGUGCAGACGUCCACCAGCAGCUCCUUGGUUUUCGCUGCGUUGAUCUGGAGGUGGUUCCUUUGGCAGCAGUCCACAAAGCUUUGGACAGGUUUUCUGUAUUCUCUGUCGCUGUCAUUCGUGACCAGACAAUGGCAGGGUCAUCACAUAACCUGGUGACAGGAUGCUGAGUUGAAUGUGAAGUCUGCAGUGUGAGCAGUGAACAGAACCGCAGGGGUUGACUUGGGAAGUACUUUGCACACCGUAUUAUAAAGAUUCAGGAAGAGAAUCAAUUCAUAUUCUAACAUUUAAAACUACUCAAUCUUAUGAGUCCUACAUAAAGAUAAAUGCUGAACCAAAACAUUAUUCUGUCUUUUACAUUCACAAUUAUUGAUUAUGCAGAAAAAGUCAUCAUUCAGUGUAUCUCACUGAAUAUCUGUCAUUUGGAGAAAUGGGAUGGUAGUAAAUGUGUUUGUGUAUUGAAUGGAUUGCAGUUUGCAGUCUCACAUAAAACAGCAUGAGCAUGGUCUGACAAUGGCCCAUGAUUAAGCCCAGAGACGCAGGGCCACAGUGGAGCAGGGUUCUGUACGCAUACAUGGUGAAAAGUAAUAUUCAAUAAGUAAUAUUCAAAGUGCAUUUAUUCAAGCUUCUCAGGGGAUCAAGCAACUAGUUAUGCUUCAUAACCUUAUACUGCUAGAAACAUGUAUGACAAGUGAAUAGUUACAGUCUACAACUCUCAAACUUUAUUCAGUAUAAUUCACUUUACAGCAGUCUUCAAUUGGCAAAGAGUGAUUAGAGCCAAAGUUUUUGAUCAGAAGCUUAUUUCUGUCUUACUUUAAAUUCACCUCUGACCUAAAACAAGGAACGUGCUGUUUGCUGAAGGCUCUCUUCUGUCCGUUUACCUUGAUCUCUAAUGUGGUGAUGCUAACAAGAUGCACUGGAUGUUUAUUGAGUCUGUUAAUAUAUCCAAGCAGAGCUGCGUGAGUUGAGCUCUGUGCAGUCGAAAGCACACACAGGUGGAAAUACAAACAUAUUGCUGCAAUAACGAGUCGUAGAUCUGAGUCCUAGCGUCAUGUCCUAUAAUUAAAUCGUUAGUUACGAUCGACGACUGCUGUAAAACGAAUUAUAAUGAUUACUGCAGUUGUUUAAAAUCUAAAAGACGGUGCAUCGCUACCACCACUGGACAAUGUCUAGCAGAUAGUAUUUACAAGUUAAAUACAAUUAACCGAAAUAAGCAGCUGUAGUCUCAAACCCGAACAAUACGCGUUUACGACGCGAUGCGCGCUCCCGCGUACGACGGCAAUCGAUUUUUGGCAGACAGCCACUUUUUGGCAUGACACCUGUAACGUGCCGCAAAGCAUCAUGGAACUUGAAGUGCUUAUAUGCGGGUUGUCACGGAGAUGAGACAUCAACAGCUAUCUACUGCACUAACGCCACGUUGCAAAGCAUAAACUUAGCCUCAGUUCAGUCAUGAGUCAGUUCCUGGGUCGCCAGGACUGUAUCGAAAGCCUCCGAAAAGACCUGGUGGACCUCCAAGGUGCAGUUCUGGACGUCUUCUCUAGAACCGGACCGGUCCGCUUUUCAUCCUGGAAGUUCCCCGACAAGCUUUCGUGUAACCUGGACAUGGUGGUUUUGUUGGAGCAGUAUGACUUUGUGGACGGGGAGGAUGCGUUUAAUCAGCAUUCCCACAUCGUGCUGCUGGAGCUCGUCAUUGACAGACUCCUGCUUCUGCUACAGAGCUUCAAUUGUUAUGUUGAGCAGCUGAGGUGCAGGCGCAGGAGAGAAGACACCCAGCACACAGGAUGCCAGUCAGUUGGCCUUGUAGUCAGAAACUACUGGAGUAACCUAGUUCAGCUGUCCAAUUGUAAGGACAGAAAACCCCAAACGUGUGACGGUGAGACAGAGACGGCGUCUUCUGUUUCCUCCCACAUGAGCUCAGCGAGUGACGGCUGCAGACCCGCUUUAGCUGCUUGGCCUUCAACGGACUCCCUGGAGCGUUUGCCACAGAAUCGGCCCUCCUCCGGUCCGAAUCCCAAGAACUCACUCUACCCUAGGGAUAGCGUGUGCAGCGUGAGCUGCCAGACGGUGGAACCGUCCCUGGUUCCCUGCGACGCCUGCCGCGGAGUGCAGUCCCUCCUGAGGAGGACGGGGGAGGCGCUGGUGGAGCUGCUGCGGGCCGAGGGCCUGCCCUGCUCCCUCCAGCCUCUCUUGGCGGCGGUGGAGGACACAGUGGGGGUGGGAGACAUGACGGCGGGCGACGUCGCCCAGUGGGCGGGCGAGCAGCUCAGGGACACGCGGCGGCUGGCGAAGCACCUGCAGGAGGUCCGGGGCACCGUGCGGCCCCUCAGGGACCAGUUAGCGGCGUCGGAGGCAGAGCGGAAGCAGUGCAAGGCCCGGUUGGACAAAGCGCGGAACGAGUUCGAGCGGGAGACGGAGAAGCGCCAGGCAAACGUAGUGCAGCUGGAGUUUUCGCUGAGGAAAGCGCAGAGGUGCGUGAAAGAGACGGAGCAACGGCUGCAGGAGGAACAACAACAACGUAGAAGAGAGAUGCUGAACUGGGAGGAGGGUGAUGCCAGGCUUAAAGAGAAGGCGGCGCUGCAACAAGAUUCACUGCAAGCACUCGCGUGUGAAAACAAGGCACUGCAGGAGAAAGUGAGGACCCUGCAGCGACUUGAACACGAAGCUCGCUGUGACCUGCAAGAAAGAGUCCAGCAGCUGGAGGGUCAGAUCUCUGAAACCCGAGUCCUCCUUGACAAAGAAAGUGCCAAGUACCGCAGCGCGUGUCGUCAGCAGGAGUCCAUGCAGGCGAAGCAGAGAGCCUUGCUGGAGAGGGUGAACGUGCUCGACGAGGACCGCGAGGAUCUUCAGAGGCAGCUGGAUGAGUCAGAGGAGCGACAGGCCGACCUGCGCGAUCAGCUGCGACGGGUCGCAGAGGAGAAGGAGCAGCAGAGGGCUCAGCUCCUCAAAGAGCAGGACCUCUACUCAGAGCUCCACAGGGAGAAGCAGAUUCUAGAAACACGGAUUGGGAAUUUACAGAACACUGUGACGGAGCUGAAGGAACACGUGGACGCGUUACAGGAGAGAGAGAGGCUGUUAGUGGCGUUCCCAGAGCUCAGCCCUCCGACUCAGGACCAACCGCAGACAACGGGAAAUGUGCUUUUGGAUAUGGAGCAACAGCUGAGGGCCAAUAACACUCGCAUCCAGGUUCUGGAGAAGGAAAACUCUACUCUGCACGGCAGCCUUGAGAAACUGAGGCAGAGAGCUCAGCAACACGCCUCCACGGGCGCCUCGCCUCAGCAGACGUCAGGCAUUUCUCUACCCAGCACUCCUUUAGAAAAACAGCAAAGUGCCCCCACACAGAUGCACAGUCCACUAGAGAGCAGCAGUGACGCUCGAGCAGGAUUCAACAACAGAGGAAAGGAAGCACGAGGUGGAGACCGGGAUCUGGAGCCAGAGGCGCUGGGGGAUCGCGUGUCUGCCGCCACUCCCUCGUCCUUGCAAGUUCACGUUCAGUCCCUCCACCUCAACACAGGUGCCACUGUUGCUAAAGGCCGCGCAAAAACACAUAGUGCCUCUGUCGGAGGCUCGAAUUACCGGAGGAAGUGAAGGCGUGUUCGCUACUAGGAGGCAGCUUUAUUCACAGCUGACACAGCUUCAUGUCGACCUCACUGAAGAGUCACGUGGUUCUGAUGAAAUGUGUCGUAGGUACAACCCUCGAACUUUAAGCCGACAAUGACUUGGAUGACGUGUACAAUGAUGUUAAGUGUCGCUGUGUCUGACAAGGGCUGAACCAACAGUUACUAUGGAAACAGCACAUCAGCGCUUUCAAGGAUUCAUGCUGGGCUGAAUCUCUAGAAGUCUUUAUUUCAGUGCGUUCAAGGUUAUACCCGUUGUGAGUGAGUGUGAGCGAUAAUUGCUGCUGCAUGAAUUUGCAGUGCAGAUCAUGGAUCUGUUUGCAGUGCUGAGGUAAAAUGGUCCCAGCUCUGUGGCUUAGACAGGAACAGGAAGCCAUUAAACUUAGGUCAGAGCCACUGAAGUCAAACAUCUUGUAUUUGUUUUUGGAAGUUUAUCAUCAGAAAUCUGACGUUGCGUAAUCUAUUCGUGACUAACAGUGGACGUCAGUGGCGCCAGCUGUAUGUUGGAGUGAUGAAGUAUGUUGGAAUAAUCAGCUGGUUUAUUAUUCUUAUUAAUACUUAUAUGGCCCUAUCUUAUAUAACCUAUAAUCUAUAACAAUAUUUCGUCAUCAGUUGUCAUUCCUCACUUUGAAAGAA